rnacentral:misc_RNA from 1 species
UGGGAGCGUGGCUUGCCCGCGAUGAACGAUGACGCGGUAUGUCUGUCGGACCGCGGUGUCUGAAUCGCGGGCAAGCCACGCUCCCA